rfam:Dipodomys ordii contig_41257, whole genome shotgun sequence.
GGGAAGGUGGCUCAGUGGUAGAGUAUUUGCCUUGCAUGCAUGAAGCCCUGGGGUUUGAUUCCUCAGCAUCACA